CUUCCGUAAGGGCACGGCUCCAGCUGCCGUCACAUGAGCGCCUUUGCAAUCCCCAAAUAGCUACUUCUAGUUAUGAUUAUUGCUUAGCACAAAUGCUAGUUGAGAAGAUCAAACAACUCAGAGUGGGGCCUGUCUCCAGGGAUGCAGAGAAGAGGACAGACUAGACACCACCUUUAACCCUGAGUAGCAAAAUCUUGGAAACAGCUGUUGGCACAGACCUGCGUAAGAAACACGUGUUUUCCCUGGAGAAUAAUAAUUUGUGGGAGGUGGUGUGUGUUUUCCAAGGACCGACCUCCCCUGUCAGCUAGUUUGCCAAGGAGAGCCAGUCAUCAGCAGCAUUCUCUUUGGAAAGACAGUCCAAUCAGUAUAAAGGUGAUGAUUGUUUCAGGCUCCUUUCCAUCCAAGGGCAUGGCUCUUGGGGAAAGCCUGACAUCAAACUCAGCUCUUGUCAGAAGAAUAAAAGGGACUUUCUGAGUCCAA